UACAGAGGUCUCGAGCGUUGUUCGGAUUCAUUGGGCGUAAAGGGCGCGUAGGCGGCGGGGUAAGUCUGGUGUGAAAUCUCCGGGCUUAACUCGGAACGGUCAACUGAUACUGCUCGGCUAGAGUGCGGAAGGGGCAACUGGAAUUCCCGGUGUAGCGGUGAAAUGCGCAGAUAUCGGGAGGAACACCGGUGGCGAAGGCGGGUCUCUGGGCCGUAACUGACGCUGAGGAGCGAAAGCAUGGGGAGCGAACAGG
rnacentral:rRNA from 1 species